UACGCCUCGUCAUUGUUUUUUUUUUUUCCUCUCUCUCUCUAAGUCUAUUAGUUUCAAAAGAAGAAAACCAGAAAUGCUCCCAGCAGACGCGUGUCCAAGUCGCCACGAAGCUCCGCGCGUGUGAAACCUGGGAACGUCAGCGGACGCUAACCGCGCAUGAGAGAGGCAGACUUCACGUCGAGGAGCGCAGCUGACUGUCCGCUCACAUUGAGUCUGACUGUUCCCCCCGCUGGCAGCGCGCUGUUUCAUUUCUCCGCUCGCUCCAUGCUGCUCCCGUGACUUUUCGUAAACAGACGCUGGCCGCGCGGUGUGGGCGGGGCUUUUCAAGUUUUAUGAAUCUGCAGCUUCUCCGCGAGCGGUCAAGGUGUUGCUGCGACGCCGCAGAUUUGAGUUGAAGCGCAACCGCACCGAGUUCCGCUUCUUCCUCCAAAAACGCACCGGAUUGGGGAAACGGUUCAGGGUAACUUUGCUGCAUUGAUCGGGCUCUACCAGGCUGCGUGCCUCUCUGCUCUCCCUCAGAGCCGUUUACGGUCAUAACGCAGAGCUCUGUGUCCCUUCUAAUAAAAACAACUGCAACAACGAGAGUCAGCCCAUGAGAGAAGGGCGUCCAGGGCGCUGAACUCCAUUGCAUGCAUCAAAACCCCUCACUGAGCGCAUCUGCAUAAAUGAGUGUAGAGCUGCAGAUUCUACACAAGCUGAGCUCAGUAUGAGUUCCCGAUCGGCAGCCCCGUCAAGCAAAAAUCGAUGUGGAAGUGUUCACUGGGUGGCCAUCGCUUCUCCUUCUAGCACUGGAUGAUCCCAGAGAGGGGUGGCAUUACAAACACCACCCCUGCAGAACCUGGUGUCACAGACGUCUGUACAGGAGCUGAGAGGCAAAUCAAUAAAGAAUCCGAGCAAUGGUGGCUUACAUUAGUGGCCCUGCUUAGUGCAACUCACAGGGGGAUUAUGGGAACGUUAAAAAUCUGUCAUCAAUGUCUUUUUCUCUGGAUCUUUGUGUUAAAUUAUCUUUUAGUAAAAAAAGCGAGAGAAUAACUGUAAGGUGUGUUGCUCCAUAAUUGUUGGCCGGACUCUGUUCUCCUACUGUUCUACUCCCUUCUCUUACAUGCAAACUUGUCAUAAUCCUACGUUUCAUUUAAAUUUGUUGGCAUCCAAAGUGAAUUAACAUAGAAAAUUUUUAAUAUAUACUUUUGUCAUCUGUAAUUUAUGCGCUAUUUGCAUAUUUAGAAAACAAAGAUGAAGCCAAAAUGGAAAACUUAGUAAAAACAAAAAUCCAAAAAGCACAACUAAGAAUCUGUAAUCCUCUUGUGUGACACGUUUUUGAACUAUAGCAGCCUGUCAGCCUUUCAGUGUUGCAUCUCGACAUCUUCCUCUGUCUCUUGUCUUUUCUUGCUCCUCCUCUUCACUUUUUAUCUCCCAAGCUCUGCUUAAAAAACAAAGACACAAUCACAAAGGAGCUGAAGUUUAAAUAGAUUUCUUCUUUUUUUUUUUACAUCUCAUAAUUCGACUAAAAACUGAUGUCAUAAAUAAGUUUAUUUCAUAUAGAAUCGAAUUCAGCCAAACAGGCAGUUCAAGCACAAAUGUGAUUUAUUUAGAUGCUUUCUGUCUUUGCGUCUUCUUUGCUCACUAUACGUUCAUAACGAGGUUACAUCAUUUUAUCAUUUCUGUAAUCUGAGCUUUUGUUAUGUUUUUGGGUUUUUUAUUUGUUCUAACAUGAGAAAUCCACAGUCUGUCUGGAAAAGAUGCCUCACAGACAAAGCUGUCAAGAACAAAGUCUAUUAGUCAAAAUUACCAAUGUUUGUAAAAAAAUAAAAUAAAAUAAUAAAAAACUUGUAAGUAAA